CGAAAUGAGAGCGAGCACCGCGACAACCCGCUGAACUUAAGCAUAUCAGUAAGCGGAGGAAAGAAAAUCAACAGAGACUCCCCUAGUAGCAGCGAGCGAAGCGGGACAAGCCCAGAUGAAAAACGGCUUUCUCGCCGAGUUGUAAAUUCCUGCAGUGUGGACUGAAUGUUCUGGAAGGCGCAGUCUUAGAGGGUGAGAACCCCGUAGGGCCACACAGGGAUCUGGAGAGUAGUGCUGCGCGGAUACGCAGUGCGAAUUGGGUGACGGAGACAUCCAAGGCUAAGUAUACGGAGAGACCGAUAGCGCAAAAGUACUGUGAAGGAAAGUUGAAAAGCAUCUCGAAAGGGAGGUUAAAAGACGUGAAACCGGUAGGGAGGAAGGGUUGGACAGCGAUUUAUAUUGUUGUUGAACCGCCCGUCUUGAAACACGGACCAAGGAGGUAUCUGACAUGGCGAGUUUAUGCGGAGGGAAACCGUUGUGAGCCAUGGCGGGUAGACCCGAAAGAUGGUGAUCUAUGCCGGGCCAGGGUGAAGCCGGAGGAAAAGCUGGUGGAGGCCCGCAGCGUAUCUGACGUGCAAAUCGAUCGUUGGAGCCAGGUAUAGGGGCGAAAGACCAAUCGAACCAUCUAGUAGCUGGUUCCAGCCGAAAUGUCUCGUAGGACAGCUUUCCUUUUUUUUUUUACCAGCAGCGCUUAUCGGCGUGCCUGUAGCCUUCGCUACAUGCACUCUGAUAAAGCACUGGGUGUGCAUUUUUGUGGACUCAGGUGGUGAUCUUAUGUACAAGAAGAGUGGGGUAGAGGACUGACGGGGGAAACCGGGGGCAACCUUGGACCGCCAUCAAACUUCGAAACCGCUCGUUUUGUUAGGGAAAAGUGGGCUGACGCUGGUAAGCAGCGUUGGCGACGCGGGAUGAACCGAGGACGUUUGGAUAAGGGGCCUAAGGUGCAGGGUCGAAGGCGUGCCGCGCAUGAAGACAGCAGGGCGGUGGCCAUGGAAGUCGGCAGCCGGUAAGAAGUGUGUUACAACAUGCCUGCCGAAUGCGGGGGCGGCCGAAAAUGGAUGGCGGAGCACCACCCGAUUCCGUGUUUUCUGAUUUUUGAUUGAGGUGAUUGAUUCAUUCAGAAAGGUAGGCUGGCGUGGGCGUUUUUUUGAAGGCGAUCUGUGAGGGUCGGUGGAGGAGCGCGCAGUGCAGAUCUUGGAGGGAGUAGCAAGGAGUCAUCGGAGCGCCGGGAGCAGGGUUCCGCGGUGCUGAUGAGCAGCCGCGGGUGAUGCGCGCCUAACUGCCUUUUUUUGGUAGGAAAGGGGAUCCGGGAGUUGUUCCGGAGAGGUGGAUUUUCGUGGCGACACGGGCGUGUGUGGCGAGGCCCCCUAAGGAUUGAGGCAGGUCGACGUCCUGCUUGAGGCUGGCAUGUGUCUGGACGGUCGACGAGCGAAGGACGGAUGCUGGGCGGAGUCAGUCUGGACGGGGCAGCGUGAAAAGGCAUGCACGGGUAUAUCCAGCAGCGUACCCAACCGCAACAGGGCUCCAGGGUGCGAACCCACGGCGACGGGGAGAAUGCGUGUAAGGGAAGUCGGCAAGCUGGGCCUGUAACCUCGGGAGAAGGGGUGGCUCCGCGCGCAAGCGCAGGAACCGGAACUGGCGGGGAAUCCGACUGUUUAAUAAAAACACAGCGUUGCGAAGCGUUUUCGUUUUGACGCGACGUGAGUUCUGCCCAGUGCCGGGGAGUCAAGGCGGGGAGCCCCGCGGACGCACGGGUAAACGGCGGGAGUAACUAUGACUCUCUUAAGGUAGCCAAAUGCCUCGUCAUCUAAUUAGUGACGUGCAUGAAUGGAUCAGCGAGAUUCCCACUGUCCCUAUGCGCAGCCCGGCGAAACCACAGCCAGGGGAACGGGCCUGGCGGAUCCAGCGGGGAAAGAAGACCCUGUUGAGCUUGACUGCAGCGUGGCGGAAGAAGGGUGGUGCGGGGACUAGAAAGGAGGGAGCGCAAGCACCGAUGGAAAACCUCCACCCGUGUGCACGCUUCUUUGUUUAUGUGUUCAGUGUGGGCGACCAUGCUGGGGACACGGGAUUUUUCCGGCUGCUUGCAGUUAGACAUCUGUUGCCAUGUGGGCAGUUUGGCUGGGGCGGCACGGCUGCGAGAGCGGAGCGCAGGCGUCCAAAGGUCGGCUCCGUGUGGGGCGAAACCACACUUUGAGCAGAAGGGCAGAAGCCGGCCUGACGAUGCAUGAGUGUCGGCGCGAAAGCGGGGCCUAGCGAUCCUCCACGGCGGCUUGCGCGUGUGGAGGUGACGGAAAAGUUACCACAGGGAUAACUGGCUUGUGGCUGCCAAGCGUCCACAGCGACGCAGCCUUUUGAUUCUUCGAUGUCGGCUCUUCCUAGCGUGGCGUCGCACAGGGCGCCAAGCGUUGGAUUGUUCACCCACCAACAGGGAACGUGAGCUGGGUUUAGACCGUCGUGAGACAGGUUAGUCUUACCCUACUGGGACGCGUGCCGGGCAGGGGGGCGCAGUACGAGAGGAACCAGCCCGCCGACGCCGCUGGUGGAGCGUUUGUGUGUCCACGCAGAUGCGACUCUACGCGUGCGUGCGAAGCGCUGGAAGCCUCUAAGCGCGGAGCACACCCCGGCGCGCACGAGU
rnacentral:rRNA from 1 species